rnacentral:rRNA from 1 species
AAUCUUCCACAAUGGACGGAAGUCUGAUGGAGCAAUGCCGCGUGAACGAAGAAGGUUUUCGGAUCGUAAAGUUCUGUUGUGAGGGAAGAACAAGUACGAGAGUAACUGCUCGUACCUUGACGGUACCUCAUUAGAAAGCCACGGCUAACUACGUGCCAGCAGCCGCGGUAAUACGUAGGUGGCAAGCGUUGUCCGGAAUUAUUGGGCGUAAAGGGUUCGCAGGCGGCCUUUUAAGUCAGAUGUGAAAGCCCACGGCUUAACCGUGGUAAGCAUUUGAAACUGGAAGGCUUGAGUUAAGGAGAGGAAAGUGGAAUUCCUAGUGUAGCGGUGAAAUGCGUAGAGAUAUGGAGGAACACCAGUGGCGAAGGCGACUCUCUGGUCUGUAACUGACGCUGAGGCGCGAAAGCGUGGGGAUCAAACA